UCCAUCACCACCAGGGGCUUUCCACACCGCGCCGUUCCGUACCGAGAACGGCUUGGCCGUCCCUCUCCCUGCGCUUCUCGGAACGGAGACUCCAGACGCGCAGCGCGGUGGCAGACAAGGGCGCACAGAGCGUCUAUCCCUCUGAUUUUUAUCACACAGAGGAUCGUACACUUUUCAUUCCGGGAGGAAGCGGCAAGUUGAAUAGCCUUCACCACAUCCUACUGCAACUUGUCAAGGCAAAGACAUUUGUUUCCGCCGCUGGAUAACAAAGGCUCCUAAGCUCUUUGCUCAUCUGAUCAUGAUUGGACAAAGCACUUGACUGUCAAACAAUGCUGUUUCCCAUCUAAGGUUGAGGAAGACAGACAGCUACAGAGGCAGAGAGACAAAUACAAAAGGAGACAGGCAUAAAGAGGAAGCCCUCAGACAAUCAAACUGGAAGCACAUUUCUGACACACGUCUUCUGUUCGACAGCCAUUCACAGAAGCUUUCAAGAUGUGAGUUUUUUCCAGACCAUCAGCCCCUGAAUUGAACCAUAGUUGUUUUCUCAUCAGUACUGAACACUGCGCACAACUUACCCUUCACCAAGGAGGCUGGGCUUUAUAAGCAGGUAAUGCUAAUAGUACAUUGUACAAAAAGUCAACUGUUUUUUUUCUUAUAUCAAACGGCUUGUCCGGUAUGCCCUUUUCAAUCAAAUGUCACAUAAGAAAAACUCGUCCUGUGCAAAAUUGGUUAAAAAGUAAACAAGAAAAGGAAUAUCAUCAUCAUAUUUUUACAUAAUUAUUCUGUAAUGUUUUAACCUUAUUUAAAAACUCUUUCAAUGUAUGAAUCCUUACACAUGUCCUUCCUACUAUGAUGGCUGCUAUGCUGUAUAUUGUUCUGAAUGCAUAAUCUGCACCAGUUGCAAAAAGAAUAUCUGAAUGGUUGUGUGUUUUGUGCUAGAGUACUUUCAGUUUCAGACAAGAAAUUGUGCCUAGAUAUCUAAAAAAAAUCAUCCUAUGUCUCUGAAUGUGGGAGACGGUAAUGAAAGCUAAUAAUACACACCAGGCAAGACCAUCUUUCAUUGUUGCUUAAGUAAUUCAGGCUAACAUGCUGUUAUUAAGCUACAAUAAUCCUGUUUGUUCUCAUCCAAGUCAUUUGGUUCUUUAAAAGCAGUUAUAAUAUUCAUUUGUUGAUCCUGCAAGAAGUUAUCUUGACUGUCUUUUGUUUUGAAAGCAUGACCAGCAUUCAUACUGUAUGACUGGCUGAUCAUGUGAUUGC